rnacentral:rRNA from 1 species
UUCCGGUUGAUCCUGCCGGAAGCCACCGCUAUUGGAAUCCGAUUAAGACAUGUGAGUCGAGAGUCUUCGGGACUCGGCAGACGGCUCAGUAACACGCGGAUAAUCUGCCCUUAGGUGGGGAAUAAUCUCGGGAAACUGAGCAUAAUACCCCAUAGGCCUGAGAUGCUGGAACGCCCUCAGGCUAAAAGCUCCGGCGCCUAAGGAUGAGUCUGCGGCCUAUCAGCUUGUAGUUGGUGUAAAUGACCAACUAGGCGACGACGGGUACGGGCAUUGGGAGAUGUAGCCCGGAGAUGGACUCUGAGACACGAGUCCAGGCCCUACGGGGCGCAGCAGUCGCGAAAACUUCACAAUGUGGGAAACCGCGAUGAGGGGAUUCCAAGUGCUUGCGUUUUGCGUAAGCUGUUCUUCUGCCUAAAAAGCAGGGGAAGUAAGGGCUGGGUAAGACGGGUGCCAGCCGCCGCGGUAAUACCCGCAGCCCGAGUGGUGGUCGAUAUUAUUGAGCUUAAAGCGUCCGUAGCCUGUCUGGUAAAUUCUUGGGUAAAUCGUGCAGCUUAACUGUUCGAAUUCCGGGGAGACUGCCAGACUUGGGACCGGGAGAGGUUGGAGGUACUCCUGGGGUAGGGGUAAAAUCCCGUAAUCCUGGGAGGACCACCAGUGGCGAAGGCGUCCAACUGGAACGGAUCCGACGGUCAGGGACGAAGCCCUGGGUCGCGAACUGGAUUAGAUACCCAGGUAGUCCAGGGUGUAAACGCUGCAGACUUGGUGUCGGAGGUCCUACGAGGGCGUCCGGUGCCGGAGAGAAAUUGUUAAGUCUGCCGCUUGGGGAGUACGUCCGCAAGGAUGAAACUUAAAGGAAUUGGCGGGAGAGCACCGCACGGGAGGAGCGUGCGUUCAUUGGACUCAACGCGG